GCCUUUCAUUUGCAGAUAAUGCUAGAGUGAUUGUGAAUCCCAAGGGUGAGAUGAAAGGUUCCGCUAUCACUGGACCUAUCGGCAAGGAGUGUGCUGAUCUUUGGCCUAGGAUUGCUAGCGCAGCAAACACCAUAGUUUGAGAGCUUGCUGGAAUAUGUUCAGACUUCUAUAUGAUCAUCUUAUUAUUAGUUGCUAAGAGUGCUAUUGGGCUUAAUGGGCCCUUUAUGUUUGUUCACUCAAUUUUGUAGUAAACAGAAUUUGGUAUACCAAGGGGAUCUAUAUAACAAUGUAUGCCAUAAAUUUUCUGACUACCAUUUCUCAUGAAAUGCUUAUAUUGUUUA